GGGGACCUUCGGGGCCCUAUACCAACCAUAGGCGGGCCGUUCCGAAACGGACCCCGCCGCAAGCAGACGGAAGACAGGAA
rfam:Defluviimonas sp. 20V17 contig140, whole genome shotgun sequence.